UAAGGCCCAUUUGACUUCACAUUCCAGGAUGUCUGGCUCUAGAUACUUCUCAUUACAGCUUAUCAUAAGAUAGGCUAUCUUGAAUACAGCUCCUGUGCCAUACUAUUCUCCCAAAACAGAGCCUGAGUCAGGGACUUGGGAGGUCAUCCCAGCGAGCAGGAAUGAGGGAUCUCGUAAGGAAGAAAAGCCGAUACAAGCAUGUGUUGUCAACAUCACCGCUCUCAACAACGGAGCUCAGUCCCAUGGACACCUCUGAAAAGUUUACAGAAUGCCUCUCAGAAUCCUCCACUCUAAAGAGGAGAGGCAGUAGCAAUGCUUUUUCUUUUCUUUUCUUCCUACUUUACUGAGAUAUAAUUAGCAUACAACAUUUUGUAAGUUUGAAGUGUACAAGGUGAUAUUUGAUAUGUGGUCAUAUUGCAAACUGAUUAUCACAAUAAAGUUAACUAACACAUCCAUCAUCUCACAUAAUUAUAAUUUUGUGUGUGUGUAAGAACAUUUAAAAUUUACUUUCUUAGCAACUUUCAAACAUAUAUGCAGUAUUAUUAACUAUAGUCACCAUGCUGAAUAUUAUAUCCCCAGAAUAUAUUCAUUUUAUAACUGGCAAGAUGGACCCUUUGACCAGACCUCCUGAUUAC